AAAGGGACAUCUGUCCCGAUAUUGUUGAGAUAAGAUGUUGAAUUUAGAUACGGCUGUCCAUUUUCUGGUACAAAAAGAUGUCAUUCCCCUGAAUUUAUGGAAGGAGGGUAGAUUCUUUUUGUACCUUAUCUCAUUCUCUAAUAAGGCUCUCAUAUAUUCUAUAUAAGAGAGGAAUUCUCUGCAGAAAAAGACACACGAAAAAGCACCCUGAAGUCAGAAUUACUCCUUGCAUUUCCUCACUAAUUCUACAUUGAUUUUUGAGAGUCCAUUGUCUUCAUUUUCAUUUUUAGUAAAGAAAAUUUCUGGAAAACCAACUUUGACAUUUCAGAAACAACAAAAAAAAACCAAUUGUUUUCAUUAGCUUGCUUCAUCAUUGGAUAGCUAUUUCUUUUCAAGUUCUGGGUUUGAAGUUUCGUGGGGCUUCAUUUUUGUUGUUUGAUACUGUUUGAUUAAGCUGAAGCUGACUCUAUUUAGCUGCAUUUCUCCAAGUCAUAAUCUUAUUUUCUUGUUGUUUUUACUGCUGUCAAGUGCCAUAAUUUGAAGACUUGACCAUAAUUGGCCAAAUCUGUAAACAUUGAGGCCGAAAUAACGUCCAAGAGCAUCGUUGGAGAUUCAGGCGCAAUCUGAAAGCUAAUGGUCUCGUGAAGGAUCUAUAUUUAUUAGGCUGCAGUUAGGAACAACUUUUAUUUAAUUGUAUUAUGAAAUGAUAAAUGUGAGAGUCAUAGUUAUACUAGCCUGUUUAUGCAGCUUAUUUGGAGUUUGAAUGUAAAUAAUGGUACAUUGUAAUGUUAGUUAUAACUUUCUUCUUUCACUUGAUAGACAGAUUUUGGGGUUUAACAUGAGUACUUGUAUAGCUUUUCAAUGAAGUUAUAGCUGCAAUUAUUAGAAUAAUUAGCCAGA